UGAGAUUCAGCCCUUUGUCGCUAAGAUUCGA
rnacentral:siRNA from 1 species